AUUGAACGCUGGCGGCAGGCCUAACACAUGCAAGUCGAGCGGAUGAAGGGAGCUUGCUCCUGGAUUCAGCGGCGGACGGGUGAGUAAUGCCUAGGUAUCUGCCUGGUAGUGGGGGAUAACGUCCGGAAACGGGCGCUAAUACCGCAUACGUCCUGAGGGCGAACGUGGGGGAUCUUCGGACCUCACGCUCUCAGAUGAGCCUAGGUCGGAUUAGCUAGUUGGUGGGGUAAAGGCCUACCAAGGCGACGAUCCGUAACUGGUCUGAGAGGAUGAUCUGUCACACUGGAACUGAGACACGGUCCAGACUCCUACGGGAGGCAGCAGUAGGGAAUAUUGGACAAUGGGCGAAAGCCUGAUCCAGCCAUGCCGCGUGAGUGAAGAAGGUCUUCGGAUUGUAAAGCACUUUAAGUUGGGAGGAAGGACAGUAAGUUAAUACCUUGCUGUUUUGACGUUACCAACAGAAUAAGCACCGGCUAACUUCGUG
rnacentral:rRNA from 1 species